rnacentral:misc_RNA from 1 species
GCUCAAAUUUGCUAGUCUUUGUCUGAAAAGUAAUCGGAUUAGUCAGGCUAGAUCAACUUUGGUUAAACUCUUGCAGUAUGACCCUGAGACAUGUCCUGAUAACGUACGAUACCAUGGACCUCCUCAAGUAAUUCUGGCAUACUUGAAAUACCAGUGGUCACUUGGAGAAGAUCACAAGAGAAAAGAAGCAUUUGCUAGGCUUCAGAAUUUGGCCAAAGAAAUUUCAAGUUCCCCAAAUAUUCAUUCAGUUGCACCAGCUGGUUUAUUGAGCAGUCCAAGUUCAAAUGUCCCCCUUCUUGCUCGUGUAUAUCUUGAACUUGGAAGCUGGCAGUGGGCACUAAGUCCCGGAUUGGAUGA